rnacentral:tRNA from 1 species
AGUGGACGUGCCGGAGUGGUUAUCCGGCAUGAGUAGAAAUCAUGUGGGCUCUAUCCGCACAGGUUCAAAUCCUGCAUGUCACUA